GAUGAACGCUAGCUACAGGCUUAACACAUGCAAGUCGAGGGGCAGCAUUUAGUUUGCUUGACAACUAAAGAUGGCGACCGGCGCACGGGUGAGUAACACGUAUCCAACCUGCCGAUAACUCUGGGAUAGCCUUUCGAAAGAAAGAUUAAUACCGGAUGGCAUAGGAUUAUCGCAUGAUAAUCCUAUUAAAGAAUUUCGGUUAUCGAUGGGGAUGCGUUCCAUUAGGCAGUAGGCGGGGUAACGGCCCACCUAGCCGACGAUGGAUAGGGGUUCUGAGAGGAAGGUCCCCCACAUUGGAACUGAGACACGGUCCAAACUCCUACGGGAGGCAGCAGUGAGGAAUAUUGGUCAAUGGGCGAGAGCCUGAACCAGCCAAGUCGCGUGGAGGAAGACGGCCCUACGGGUUGUAAACUCCUUUUACCUGGGAAUAACGGGCGCUACGCGUAGCGCUGUGCAUGUACCGGGAGAAUAAGCAUCGGCUAAUUCCGUG
rnacentral:rRNA from 1 species